rnacentral:lncRNA from 10 species
GAGUUUCCGCAGAUGAGCCGCGGGAAAGGAGACGAGGGGCGGUGGCCAGGCGGUUGCCCUGACAACGGGGAACCGACCGACUCUUCCCGGUAGGGAGAGGCGAUGGCGGAAUUACUCCUCUAAUGUCAAGGUAUUCUAAUCACAGAAUUACUGGAGCAUCAAGAAGUGCCUGCAUGCUUGGAAGGGCUUCCAGGCAGAUGAACACACCUCAGCACCGGGUGGCAUUUUCCCAGGGUGCAACCCGGACCGGCUCUGGGUCACACUGACAAGUGCACCCCUCCUGAGCUGAAGUGUUCCUGUUCUCUCUGCAGCCUCUCCGACUCCCCAGGCUGGGUUGGGUGCUCCUCCCUCUCAUCCCACAGCGCUAUGUCUCAUGUCUUCUGGAAAACUUGCCAAUCCCUAGUGACAACAGGGUUAACAAUUUCCAGAGACAGCCCGUACAUAGAAGGAAUGUUUACUGAAAAAAAUGAAGAGGGGUCAGGGCAAGGCGAGGAGCAAGAAGCACCCCCAAGGAAACAGAGAAGACCAGUACAACUGUACCUCUUUGCCAGCUGCACCAUCCGUACCAGUCUCCUGGGGUGGAAGUGUCCAGCACAGAGACUGCCACACUGCAAGACGAAGGGGCUGGACACACGGAAGAGAGAGGCGGAACCCUGCACCCCCUCAACCUCAGCCCUACUGAGUCUCCAAUGGGGCCACGCUUCUGAGUGCACCUCCCCGUGUCAUCUGUAAUGUG